AUUGAACGCUGGCGGCAGGCCUAACACAUGCAAGUCGCGCGGUGCGGCGGACGGGUGAGUAAUGCCUAGGUACCUGCCUGGUAGUGGGGGAUAUGGUCCGGAAACGGGCGCUAAUACCGUAUACUAUCCGAUGAGCCUAGGGCGGAUUAGCUAGUUGGUGGGGUAAAGGCCUACCAAGGCGACGAUCCGUAACUGGUCUGAGAGGAUGAGCAGUCACACUGGAAAUGAGACACGGUCCAGACUCCUACGGGAGGCAGCAGUGGGGAAUAUUGGACAAUGGGCGAAAGCCUGAUCCAGCCAUGCCGCGUGUGUGAAGAAGGUCUUCGGAUUGUAAAGCACUUUAAGUUGGGAGGCGUUACCAACAGAAUAAGCACCGGCUAACUUCGUGCCAGCCGCCGCGGUAAUUC
rnacentral:rRNA from 1 species